AGAGGGAGCUCAGGGGUGGCUGUGUCACCUGCUGAGGGUGUCUGAUGGCACAGGAAAGGCCAGGCUUUCCCAGCUGGACCAGAAGCUCAUUCCAGACUUCACUGAGUGCUUUCCCUGCAGGCUAAAGGGCUGCAACUGGCACGGAGCUCUCUGGCCUCUGUCUCUGCUGGAAUUUGGGGUUCUGUGACGUAAAUGGUUGUUGCUUGUUGGGGGGAUUUUUGCCGAGUUUUGUGUGGCCAGCAAGGAUUUUCCAGGUGUUUUAUUAGCAGAACUUCUAAAGGAAAACAUGAAGAAGCACCAACCAAACUCUGGCUCUGAACAGAACAUCCAUGCCAAAAUCCAGCUGCCCCUCACAGAUGUUGCCUGAUGUGGAUCCAGACCUCCCCUGGAGUGUCAAUGAUAUCAGCAGCCCUGAUAACUGUCUCGUAGGAAGUCAGAUGGUUGACAAGGAAAAAGAAAGCAGCAGGAGAAAAUUAGCACGUGCUGUCCCUUGGACUACCUGAAUACUCCAAGACUGAAAAAUUCACUAAUAUGGAUGAUUAUUAAUGAAAAUGGACAUUGUACAAUCCAGCUCUGCAGCCACCAUUGCUUUUCAGUAAGCAGCAAUUUUCUCUUGGCUGUCUGUAUCCCACCAGAUAAGCAAAAUGAUGGAGACUGGCCACCACAAAUUGGCUCGUUCUUUCAAUUUUAAACUGGAUGUAUGAUCUUGAAAUCACCUUUGAAGUGAUCACCCUGGAAAGAACAGAGUGUUCCCUGUGAAAAACCAUUGAAGUCAGUUCAUGUGAUGCACACCUUUGGGUUCCCACUUCCCACAGGAACACAUCAGAAGACAAGGUCUCCCUCUGUCUCUGCCAGCAGCAAAGUUACUUGAGAGGCCAGCACUGCACCUGCCCAGAAAGAGGAUGGUUUGUAUUGGUGAAUCUCUGCUGAGGGUGGAAGGAGCCAGAACUGCCAUAACUGCACUGACAGAGGAUUCCCACAGGUCUUUGUUCUGUGUGACUGUGGAAAAAGGCCUCUGCCACUGGUACAGGCUUGCAGAGCUUGUCAGGAUAAUCAAAACAGCAACAGAUAAUCAGAAUGGCAAAUUUCCCCUUCUUCCUUUACCUGCUGCAGCUGGUUUGAAGGGUCUUCUGGGACAGUCUCUGAGACAGAAGAGCUUGUUCUUCUUCUUGAAUUUGACUUGAUUGCUUUCAUGCAGAACUAAUUGCCAUGUUUUCACAGAAGGCCAAUCUGUACUGUGGAGAGACAACUGCUGGCAGUUUGCAGCUGGCUGGCAGGCUGGAGAAAAGCACCCUGAAUAUCUAAAUUCGAGGCAGGAAAGCCACCUCAUCUUCAAACGACCUGCUAGGAAACACCGCUGACCGGAGAAUUAACUCUGCCCAGGACUGAAGCCACAGAGCUGCAGACUGCAAGGGGGACAAGGCACCAGAAGAGAAAACGGAUGUUAGCAUUUUGCCACUGAGAUUCCUCUGUGCAUUGUCACACCCCGUGAUGGAAAUACUGUGAAAAUGGAUGUGGUGUCACCUUCAGCCCCAGAUCCAGAAUGGAUGGGAGCUCUCUGCCUCCAGGGACUUUCCAGCUCUUCCUUUGCAAAUUUGCAAGAAAAUCUUCAGUAAACACUUCUGGUCUAAGGAUCUCCCCGCAAUUUGUAAAAGUGAUUAGCGUGCUGCAUCUUUGCUGAAAUGGAAAUCUGGAUUAGAUCUCCCCUCUUCCAAGAGCCAAGAUCACACAUACUCUACCCCUGACAAGAACUUUAUACUUCACUCUGUGCUUACUGUAAUGUUCUG